CUAAUUACCUAAAUAAAAAAAAGUGAAAGGGAUUAACAACACAAACAGAUGGAAUGGACCUUAUCUCAAUUGUCAAGUCCAAACUGAGGGGGGACGAUAGUUUGAUGGAGUGUGUGUGAAGAAUGUAAGCCAUUGGGCUCCCUACAGGCCCUAAGGCCCAAGAUGAAUGGGUCUGAUAAGGGAACAAACGCUGAAGGUCUUCCCCUUCACGCGUUCAGUAUCACCUACGAGGAAAUAGAGAGUGCGACGGCUGCCGCGCCAGGUUUCAUCACCGGCGGCGGCGAUUCGUGGAGAUAUCCGCGUCACCUCCCCCUUCGACUCUGCCAUCGAAACCAACAAAUCACCUACCACAUCCACACGCACUCGAUCUCAAUGGAGAGACCACGCGACUCCGGUGCGACUUGGAACGGCAAUGCAAUUUGUGGCGGACUAAGGCGAGCUCAAAUCAGAGUUCUAAAUUGCUAUACACUAUCCAAAUUAAGCAUAAAGUUGUUUGAGCGGAUACCUUGGUGAAGUCCAGCGUGAAGGUAAUCGCGAAUUUCCCAGUCCUUCUCGGUUUGCAACGUUCCUCUUCUUCUAUCUCGCGCUCGUUGCUAUCCGCCAAAGCUUGGAGUCUAAUCUGUCUGUCACUCGGCGUUUGUGCGGAUUAUUUGGAUUCGGAUUCGUCGUCUUUGUUCACUGAUCUCCCUUUGACAUUUGGAUCCUCUUCACUCUUUUGUUUCUGCUCUGCUUCUACCACGCUUCUGUCCUGGAUUGAAAGGAUGGCAACGCGAAAUGGCGGAAUUGUGGUGGUUCGCUAGAAAUUGAGGAGAACUUUUGCGGUGCGGGAAGAAGAAGUUGUGAGAGUCGGUUCCGCCUUCUGCAGGUUGAAGAAGAAAGAGGAUGAAGAGAGAGUUCUGAAAGGUUGAAGAAGGAAGAGGAGGAAGAGGAUGGAAGAACUCGUGAAAAUCGAAUCCAAAAAAAGAACCCUCAAAUUUACUCUGUUGAUGUCGUUCGCGUUUUGUUUGGCGUUGCAGCUUUUUGCAUGCUAUUCAAAGUUGCAUUCUGAUGUUCCGCUUAGCUUGCGCUUCGAGCCGCUGCAGUUUGUAGCUGCGUUUGGAUGGCUUCCGUUUCGGCAUUGGCUUGCAGUUGUUAUCCUUGGCUUAUGUAGCUCACAUUGUCUUGCGUUUUCGGAAGUUUGUUGUGUUGCUUUCGCGUGAGGCUUUUGUUUCUGUUUUGCAGCUUGUGUUGAUGGAGCGGCUUGCGCGUUUUGGCGUGUUUCCUUUUCUUUCACGCCGGCGUUGCCGUAUUGGCUUGUGGCUCGGUUGGUGGCUUUUCUUUUCCAAUUUCCGUAUUGGAUAUGUUUCCAACUGCAUUUCUCUUUCUUUCUUUGUCUUACUGGGCUAUAGCAUAGGAUGUAGGAUGUGGUGUAUUAGUAAAAUGGAUAUGUGUUAUAAGAUGAAUUUGGAUAAUGGUUCUCUCCUUUAUUUGAAUAUGGAUUGGAUAUCGUGUAAAAAAAGUGGAUUAAUUUGGUUUUGACAAAAUGGAUAUUGAAUCAAUAAAAUUGGGAUUGGAUAUUUGAACUUGGUUAA